rnacentral:rRNA from 1 species
UACGGGAGGCAGCAGUGGGGAAUAUUGCGCAAUGGGGGAAACCCUGACGCAGCAACGCCGCGUGAGUGAGGAAGGACUUCGGUCUGUAAAGCUCUGUUAAUGUGGAAAAAUGGUAGUUGGUCUAAUAGGCCGAUUAUUUGAUGGUACACAUAGAGGAAGCACCGGCUAACUUCGUGCCAGCAGCCGCGGUAAU